rnacentral:rRNA from 1 species
UUUAACGAUCAGCCCGUCGUAANAGUCAUCUAAAAUUGGGNCGUUCGGAUCAUAGGACUCAGCANUGAGACCGCUUCGUUNGACAGCCUCACACAUGCAAGUCGAGCGGAUGACGGGAGCUUGCUCCUUGAUUCAGCGGCGGACGGGUGAGUAAUGCCUAGGAAUCUGCCUGGUAGUGGGGGACAACGUUUCGAAAGGAACGCUAAUACCGCAUACGUCCUACGGGAGAAAGCAGGGGACCUUCGGGCCUUGCGCUAUCAGAUGAGCCUAGGUCGGAUUAGCUAGUUGGUGGGGUAAUGGCUCACCAAGGCGACGAUCCGUAACUGGUCUGAGAGGAUGAUCAGUCACACUGGAACUGAGACACGGUCCAGACUCCUACGGGAGGCAGCAGUGGGGAAUAUUGGACAAUGGGCGAAAGCCUGAUCCAGCCAUGCCGCGUGUGUGAAGAAGGUCUUCGGAUUGUAAAGCACUUUAAGUUGGGAGGAAGGGCAGUAAGUUAAUACCUUGCUGUUUUGACGUUACCGACAGAAUAAGCACCGGCUAACUCUGUGCCAGCAGCCGCGGUAAUACAGAGGGUGCAAGCGUUAAUCGGAAU